rnacentral:rasiRNA from 1 species
AAAGAUAAUAUUCCGAUACAUUUUCC